UACGGGGGGGGCGAGCGUUGUUCGGAAUCACUGGGCGUAAAGGGCGCGUAGGCGGCCCGCACAAUUCUGCGGUGAAAACCCCCGGCUUAACCGGGGGCCGGCCGUGGAAACUGUCGGGCUAGAGGCCGGGAGAGGGCAGCGGAAUUCCCGGUGUAGCGGUGAAAUGCGUAGAGAUCGGGAGGAACACCGGCGGCGAAGGCGGCUGCCUGGACCGGCCCUGACGCUGAGGCGCGAAAGCUAGGGGAGCAAACAGG
rnacentral:rRNA from 1 species